rnacentral:rRNA from 1 species
UCGGGAAUUUUGGGCAAUGGGCGAAAGCCUGACCCAGCAACGCCGCGUGAAGGAUGAAGUAUUUCGGUAUGUAAACUUCGAAAGAAUAGGAAGAAUAAAUGACGGUACUAUUUAUAAGGUCCGGCUAACUACGUGCCAGCAGCCGCGGUAAUACGUAGGGACCAAGCGUUGUUCGGAUUUACUGGGCGUAAAGGGCGCGUAGGCGGCAAUUCAAGUCAUCUGUGAAAUCUCCGGGCUUAACUCGGAACGGUCAGAUGAUACUGCUUUGCUAGAGUGCAGAAGGGGCAAUCGGAAUUCUUGGUGUAGCGGUGAAAUGCGUAGAUAUCAAGAGGAACACCUGAGGUGAAGACGGGUUGCUGGGCUGACACUGACGCUGAGGCGCGAAAGCCAGGGGAGCAAACAGGAUUAGAUACCCCUGUAGUCCCUGAGCGGGCUGGCAAGGCGCAU